AGAGUUUGAUCCUGGCUCAGAACGAACGCUGGCGGCGUGCUUAACACAUGCAAGUCGAACGCGAAAGGGACUUCGGUCCCGAGUAGAGUGGCGCACGGGUGAGUAACGCGUAAGUAAUCUACCCUUGCAUCUGGAAUAACCCACCGAAAGGUGAGCUAAUACCGGAUACGUUCAGACUGGUGCGAAUCAGUUUGAAGAAAGGUGGCCUCUUCUUGAAAGCUACUGUGCAGGGACGAGCUUGCGUACCAUUAGCUAGUUGGUAGGGUAAUGGCCUACCAAGGCAAUGACGGGUAGCGGGUUUGAGAGGAUGAUCCGCCACACUGGUACUGAGACACGGACCAGACUCCUACGGGAGGCAGCAGUGAGGAAUAUUGCACAAUGGGGGAAACCCUGAUGCAGCAACGCCGCGUGGAGGAUGACGCAUUUCGGUGUGUAAACUCCUUUUAUAUGUCAAGAAAAUGACGGUAGCAUAUGAAUAAGCACCGGCUAACUCCGUGCCAGCAGCCGCGGUAAUACGGAGGGUGCAAGCGUUACUCGGAAUCACUGGGCGUAAAGGACGCGUAGGCUGGCUGACAAGUCAGAUGUGAAAUCCUAUGGCUUAACCAUAGAACUGCAUUUGAAACUGUUAGUCUAGAGUAUGGGAGGGGGAGAUGGAAUUAGUGGUGUAGGGGUAAAAUCCGUAGAUAUCACUAGGAAUACCUAAAGCGAAGGCGAUCUCCUGGAACAUUACUGACGCUAAGGCGUGAAAGCGUGGGGAGCAAACAGGAUUAGAUACCCUGGUAGUCC
rnacentral:rRNA from 1 species